rnacentral:rRNA from 1 species
GAUGAACGCUGGCGGCGUGCCUAAUACAUGCAAGUAGAACGCUGAAGGAAGGAGCUUGCUCUUUCCGGAUGAGUUGCGAACGGGUGAGUAACGCGUAGGUAACCUGCCUGGUAGCGGGGGAUAACUAUUGGAAACGAUAGCUAAUACCGCAUAACAGUAGAUGUUGCAUGAUAUCUACUUAAAAGGUGCAAUUGCACCACUACCAGAUGGACCUGCGUUGUAUUAGCUAGUUGGUGAGGUAACGGCUCACCAAGGCGACGAUACAUAGCCGACCUGAGAGGGUGGUCGGCCACACUGGGACUGAGACACGGCCCAGACUCCUACGGGAGGCAGCAGUAGGGAAUCUUCGGCAAUGGACGGAAGUCUGACCGAGCAACGCCGCGUGAGUGAAGAAGGUUUUCGGAUCGUAAAGCUCGGUUGUAAGAGAAGAACGAGUGUGAGAGUGGAAAGUUCACACUGUGACGGUAUCUUACCAGAAAGGGACGGCUAACUACGUG